rnacentral:lncRNA from 1 species
AGUCCUUAAAAUAUGGUGUCCCUCACAUACAGUCUAUCAGUACCACUAAUGGUGUCCCUCAUCAAUAAUCAUCUGGUCAGUCCUUAUAAUGGUGUCCCUCAUCAAUACAUCUGGUCAGUCCUUAUAAUGGUGUCCCUCAUCAAUAUGCAUCUGGUCAGUCCUUAUAAUGGUGUCCCUCAUCAAUAACUGUUAGUCCUUAUAAUGGUGUACAACUGAAUCUCUGGCUGUAUAACUAUGAAACGAUAGAAUUUUUAAACUGAAGUCCUGAAUCCUAUUUGACAAUCCACCAUGGUCUGUCAAAACAUUACAGGUUUAACAUGACUACUACGAGAUGUUUCCUAGCCACUACAGAAACUACUAGGCCGUAGGUACUGGUGUUCCUAGCCACUAGAACUACUAGGCGAGGUACUGGUUUCCUGCCACUACGAACUACUAGGCCGAGGUACUGGUUUCCUAGCCACUACGAACUACUAGGCCGAGGUAGUGUUCCUAGCCACUACGAACUAUCUAGGCCGAGGUACUGGUUUCCUAGCCACUCGAACUACUAGGCCGAGGUACUGGUUUCCUAGCCACUACGAAUACUAGGCCGAGGUACUGGUUCCUAGCCACUACGACUACUAGGCCGAGGUACUGGUUUCCUAGCCACUACGAACUACUAGGCCGAGGUACUGGUUUCCUAGCCACUCGAACACUAGGCCGAGGUACUGGUUACCUAGCCACUCGAAACUAAUAGGCCGAAUGGUACUCGGUUUCCUGCCUACACGAACUACUAGGCCGGGUACUGGUUUCCUAGCCACUACGAACUACUAGGCCGAGGUACUGGUUUCCUAGCCACUACGAACUACUAGGCCGAGGUACUGGUUUCCUAGCCACUACGAAACUACUAGGCCAGGGGUGAUGGUAUGGUUUCCUAGCCACUUAAUACCUGUAAUAGGCCGAGGUACUGGUUUCCUAGCCACUACAUACCUUAAUAGGCCGAGGUUAGGUUUCUAGCCACUACAUACCUGUAAUAGGCGCCAGGUACUGGUUUCCUAGCCACUACAUACUGUAAUAGGCCGAGGUUACUGGUUUCCUAGCCACUACAUACCUGUAAUAGGCCGAGGUAUGGUUUCCUAGCCACUACAUACCUGUAAUGGCCGAGGUAUGGUUUCCUAGCCCCUACAUACCUGUAAUAGGCAGAGGUAUGGUUUCCUAGCCACUACCUACCUGUAAAGGCAGGUAUGUGUUCUUAGCCACUAGUCCCGUAUAGGUAUGGUGUGUCUUCCUGGGACAGACAGGAUACUGAACCAUAGCCUGAGAAGAUGGAGGGUUUGUCGACAGGUUAGAUUGACUGGGCUGACCAUAGCCGCACACUAGUACCAUAGCCAGAGGGUCCUGGCGGGUGUGGGUAGAUGGUAGAGGCA